GACGAACGCUGGCGGCGUGCUUAACACAUGCAAGUCGAACGGAAAGGCCCUGCUUGCGUGGGGGGCUAGAGUGGCAAACGGGUGAGUCACACGUGUGUAAUCCGCCCAAGACUGUGGGAUACCUGCAGGAAACGGGGGCUAAUCCCGGAUAGGCGCUCAUGGCGCAGGGGGGGGGGGGGAAAGUUUCGGCGGUUGGGGAUGGACUCGCGGCUUAUCAGCUUGUUGGUGGGGUAGUGGCUUACCAAGGCCUUGACGGGUAGCCGGCCUGAGAGGGUGACCGGCCACACUGGGACUGAGAUACGGCCCAGACUCCUACGGGAGGCAGCAGUGGGGAAUAUUGCACAAUGGGCGGAAGCCUGAUGCAGCAACGCCGCGUGCGGGAUGACGGCCUUCGGGUUGUAAACCGCUUUCACCAGUGAAGAAGCGUGAGUGACGGUAAUUGGUGAAGAAGCACCGGCUAACUACGUG
rnacentral:rRNA from 1 species